AACCAUAGAAACCUGCGGAGUACCUGCGGAAGGAUCAUUACAGAGUUCAUGCCCUCACGGGUAGAUCUUCCACCCUUGAAUACUAUACCUUUGUUGCUUUGGCGGGCCGCUUUGGCUACUGGCUCUGGCUAGUAAGUGCCCGCCAAAGAACCCCAAAACUCUGAAUAUUAGUGUCGUCUGAGUACUAUAUAAUAGUUAAAACUUUUAACAAUGGAUCU
rnacentral:misc_RNA from 1 species